GCCCUCGUAGUUCAAUGGACAGAACAGCGGCGUCCUAAGCCGCUGAUGACCGUUCGAUUCGGUCCGAGGGCA
rnacentral:tRNA from 1 species